rnacentral:rRNA from 1 species
AGAGUUUGAUCAUGGCUCAGGACGAACGUUGGCGGCAGGCUUAACACAUGCAAGUCGAACGAGAAGGUGGACUUCGGUCCACUGGACAGUGGCGGACGGGUGAGUAACGCGUGGGUACUUGCCUUUCGGUACGGGACAACCCCGGGAAACUAGGGCUAAUACCGUAUAUACCGGUCUUGGUGGUUCUUGAUCGGGAAAGAUUUAUCGCCGAAAGAUAGACCCGCGUCCGAUUAGCUAGUUGGUGUGGUAGAGGCGCACCAAGGCUUCGAUCGGUAGCUGGUUUGAGAGGAUGAUCAGCCACACUGGGACUGAGACACGGCCCAGACUCCUACGGGAGGCAGCAGUGGGGAAUAUUGGACAAUGGGCGCAAGCCUGAUCCAGCCAUGCCGCGUGAGUGAAGAAGGCCCUAGGGUUGUAAAACUCUUUCACCGGUGAAGAUAAUGA